GGUUGUGGCUCAGUGGCAGAGCACUUACCUAGCAUGCAUGAGGCACUGGGUUCGGUUCUCAGCACCA
rnacentral:tRNA from 1 species